rnacentral:rRNA from 1 species
GUCUAUGGCCAUGCCACCCUGAACAAGCCUGAUCCUGUCUGAUCUUGGAAGCUAAGCAGGGUCGGGCCUGGUUAGUACUUGGAUGGGAGACCACCUAGGAAGACCAGGUGUUGUAGGUG